GACGAACGCUGGCGGCGUGCUUAAUACAUGCAAGUCUAGCGAACAGGUCCGGAUCUUGCUCGUUGCUCGAUAGCGGCACACGGGUGAGUAACAUGUGUAUAACCUACCUAUCAUAGUGGUAUAACUUCGAGAAACCGGAUCUAAUACCGUAUAAGAUAUUGAUGCGCAUUGGGCAAUGGUAAAAUUCGGUUGUUCUGGCACGUAUAGAUGGAUCCGCGCUGCAUUAGCUGGUUGUGGAGGUAACAGCCUACGAAGGCUAGGAGGCGUAGACGACCUGACGGGGUGAUCGGCCACCCUGGAACUGAGACACGGUCCAGACGACUACGGGAGGCAGCAGUAGGGAAUGUUCCGCAAUGGGCGAAAGCCUGACGGAGUAACGCCGAGUGAGUGAUGAAGGUCUUCGGAUCGUAAAAAUCUGUUAUUAGGGAAGAACAAAUGUGUAAGUAACUAUGCCCGUCUUGACGGUAAUUAAUAAGAAAGCAACGGCUAACUACGUG
rnacentral:rRNA from 1 species